UGCCUCACUUUUUUUUUGUGUUGCUAGUCCAUUCCAGUUAGUUUAGAGUUCACUGGUUACGAAUUGAACAUUGAGCGUCUUCAGGGAUACACUGCUCCAAUGACUCGAGUGACUCGAGCUAGGUGACCCGCGUUUCAUGGGAGCUUUUGACAGUUCAUCACCCGGUCGCCAUCUUUGAUUUUUCUAGCCCGGGUCAGGAAUCGUGACCCGACCAAAUAGUACGGGCUACGAAGUUCUAGCUCGAGUCACCCGGAAUCGGAGCGCUCCUAUUGGUUGAAAGUUUCGCGUCGUCUGCUCGGUCUGCAGUCAAGUAAACAACACAUAAGUAAAUGCAAAUAUGGAGGAUUAUUACGAAUACAAACAUGAGUUUGUUUUUGAAGGCAUAUUUUAUAAAAUAAUUAGAAAGGAGGAAAUUUACACAUUAUUGGCUGGCAGCUUGGACUUCUUCAGUCCUAUCUGAAUCUGAAACAAAACUAUGGCCACAUCGAGAUGGCUGGUUUAGCAGCAGAAGUCACCACAGAGGGUCAUGUGUGGACUAAUGAUGCAACAAAAGUGAAAUUUAUUUGGGAUUAAAAGUUAACAGACCGUUGUGCAACCCGGUGAUAAUCUUGUAUUAAAGGAAGUUCUUAUGUAGCAA